CCUACGGGAGGCAGCAGUGGGGAAUAUUGGACAAUGGGGGGAACCCUGAUCCAGCGACGCCGCGUGAGUGAAGAAGUAUUUCGGUAUGUAAAGCUCUAUCAGCAGGGAAGAAAGAAAUGACGGUACCUGACUAAGAAGCCCCGGCUAACUACGGGCCAGCAGCCGCGGGAAUACGUAGGGGGCAAGCGUUAUCCGGAUUUACUGGGUGUAAAGGGAGCGUAGACGGCGAUGCAAGUCUGAAGUGCAAGGCGGGGGCCCAACCCCCGGACUGCUUUGGAAACUGUAUGGCUGGAGUGCAGGAGAGGUAAGUGGAAUUCCUAGUGUAGCGGUGAAAUGCGUAGAUAUUAGGAGGGACACCAGUGGCGAAGGCGGCUUACUGGACUGUAACUGACGUUGAGGCUCGAAAGCGUGGGGAGCAAACAGGAUUAGAUACCCGUGUAGUC
rnacentral:rRNA from 1 species